rnacentral:rRNA from 1 species
CUACGGGCCGCUCCAGUGGGGAAUAUUGCACAAUGGGCGCAAGCCUGAUGCAGCCAUGCCGCGUGUAUGAAGAAGGCCUUCGGGUUGUAAAGUACUUUCAGCGGGGAGGAAGGGAGUAAAGUUAAUACCUUUGCUCAUUGACGUUACCCGCAGAAGAAGCACCGGCUAACUCCGUGCCAGCAGCCGCGGUAAUACGGAGGGUGCAAGCGUUAAUCGGAAUUACUGGGCGUAAAGCGCACGCAGGCGGUUUGUUAAGUCAGAUGUGAAAUCCCCGGGCUCAACCUGGGAACUGCAGCUGAUACUGGCAAGCUAGAGUCUCGUAGAGGGGGGUAGAAUUCCAGGUGUAGCGGUGAAAUGCGUAGAGAUCUGGAGGAAUACCGGUGGCGAAGGCGGCCCCCUGGACGAAGACUGACGCUCAGGUGCGAAAGCGUGGGGAGCAAACAGGAUUAGAUACCCCAGUAGUC